GGGAGGGGGGGCUAGCGUUGUUCGGAUUUACUGGGCGUAAAGGGCGCGUAGGGCGGUAUGCCAUGUCAGGGGGUGAAAGGGCCUGGGCUCAACCCAGGAACUGCCUUUGAAACUGGCAAACUAGAGUCCGAUAGAGGAUGGCGGAAUUCCCAGUGUAGAGGUGAAAUUCGUAGAUAUUGGGAAGAACACCAGUGGCGAAGGCGGCCAUCUGGAUCGGCACUGACGCUGAGGCGCGAAAGCGUGGGGAGCAAACAGGAUUAGAUACCCUGGUAGUCCACGCCGUAAACGAUGUGUGCUAGACGUUGGGGGCCUUAGGCCCUGGGUGUCGCAGCUAACGCGUUAAGCACACCGCCUGGGGAGUACGGCCGCAAGGUUA
rnacentral:rRNA from 1 species